UAAGAAAGAAAAUGGUUUGCGAAUUUAUUUUCAGAAAAUGAUAAUGCCUGGCACCGCUAUUGAAGGAGGUGGAGGGAGCAGAGAUUCAUCUGAAUUCGAAUUCAUUUCAAAGGGAAACGCUGUUUCGGGGUUUUUGGACGAGACCAUACCCACGCCCACCGUCUCCUUUCCCUCCCCCUCCCACCUCCAGCCACACACCGUUAACUUCCAAUCCAACCCUAUCAUGGAGACCAAGCCUCUAAG